GUCGAAUGCAGCUAUUUUAGUUUCCAUUCCAAAUGUAUAUAUUAAAGUUUCACAAACUAACCAAAGUUGUGAUCACUAAAAGGGAAAGAGCAAAAAACUAAAUACAUUGAAAGGGGGAGAAGAAGUGAAAAAUAAAAUGAUAGCAUUAUACAACAUUCUACUGUUUCUGUGUUCAUAGAAAGGACAGAUGACUGGCAUCACCGGCGACAGGGAUGGGAAUAGCCUUCGGGUUUUACCUGUCAUCAAACAACAUUCUACUCUUUCGUAUGCUUACCAGUGUACACCUAUUUUUCUUCAAACUCGACAUCAAUAAUAUCUGGUUGGGAUUUUGAAGUGGUACCUCCUCGACUGCCUCUAGAAAAGAAGUCACCUCCUUUCGGCUGCCACACAACAUUUCCACAGUUGGCACAGCGAACUGUUGAAUUCUUGUUUCCGAUAAAUUGUCUCCUACAAGAUGGGCACUGACCCUUGAUGACUAGAUUGUUGGCAACAACCCCAAUAAGAAGAGGUCCAGCAAAUGGUAGAACCCAUGUUGCAAUUAUCAGAAUUCGAAACAGCCAACCCGAUAAAGCAAACCACAGAAAGAAUAUUGUAACAGCACUUCUUCCCAGCGGGGUAUCCAUAAAAUCAUUCAACUGCUUCCUAUACCUAGGCAAAUUUGAUCUAAAAUCAAGAGAAAAAGUACGCCACUUUCGAGUAAUCUCAAAAUCACGAUCAAUUUCUCUAGCACGAUCAGCAGCAGACUGUGCAACAUCCGAUACUUUCCUUGACACAUCAUAUCUCCUAUCAAUACGUUCCGCAGUCUUCUUAGAUUCAUAUAAAAACUGCUCAAAACCAUCAUUAGCAUUCCUCCACACAUCUUUCCAUGCUUCACCGGAUCUUACUCGUUUAGCGAAUCCAUCAAAAUCACUCCGCCUGAAAGCAUGUACAUAACUAACUUGCCGAAUAGGUAGGUUUACCUUUACUGUUCGGUUAGCAAAACUUAGGGUUUUAGUAGGGUUUAAGGGAUGCCAUGGUAGGCUUAUCGCCAUAAUCGCCUGAAAAUUUGAAGCUUUUU
rnacentral:misc_RNA from 1 species